rnacentral:rRNA from 1 species
UGGGGAGUAUUGGACAAUGGGCGAAAGCCUGAUCCAGCCAUGCCGCAUGAGUGAAGAAGGCCCUUGGGUUGUAAAGCUCUUUUAGUGAGGAAGAUAAUGACGGUACUCACAGAAGAAGUCCUGGCUAACUCCGUGCCAGCAGCCGCGGUAAUACGGAGAGGGCUAGCGUUAUUCGGAAUUAUUGGGCGUAAAGGGCGCGUAGGCUGGUUAGUAAGUUAAAAGUGAAAUCCCGAGGCUUAACCUUGGAACUGCUUUUAAAACUGCUAACCUAGAGAUUGAAAGAGGAUAGAGGAAUUCCUAGUGUAGAGGUGAAAUUCGUAAAUAUUAGGAGGAACACCAGUGGCGAAGGCGUCUAUCUGGUUCAAAUCUGACGCUGAGGCGCGAAGGCGUGGGGAGCAAGCA